UUUCAUGGCGGCUGUGUGUGGGAGAUCUUCGGGUCUGCCGGGUUUCUCUAACUCCUCGGUCUGCGAACCCGCACAUGGCUGCCACCCAA
rnacentral:antisense_RNA from 2 species